rnacentral:rRNA from 1 species
AUUGAACGCUGGCGGCAGGCCUAACACAUGCAAGUCGGGCGGUAACAGAGAUAGCUUGCUAUCUGCUGACGAGCGGCGGACGGGUGAGUAAUGCUUGGGGAUCUGCCAUAGGGUGGGGGAUAACCAUUGGAAACGAUGGCUAAUACCGCAUGAUAGCUACGGCUCAAAGGCUGCUUCGGCAGUCGCCCAAUGAUGAACCCAAGUGGGAUUAGCUAGUUGGUAAGGUAACGGCUUACCAAGGCAACAAUCCCUAGCUGGUCUGAGAGGAUGAUCAGCCACACUGGGACUGAGACACGGCCCAGACUCCUACGGGAGGCAGCAGUGGGGAAUAUUGGACAAUGGGCGCAAGCCUGAUCCAGCCAUGCCGCGUGUGUGAAGAAGGCCUUAGGGUUGUAAAGCACUUUCAGUCGUGAGGAAAGUUGUUGUGUUAAUAGCGCAAUGAUGUGACGUUAGCGACAGAAGAAGCACCGGCUAACUCCG